CGUGAGUUCACUGCCAAGGCUCGGAGCUGGCACCAGGAAUGUGACAGUCCUUAUCCGGCCACAGAGGUUCUCAAAAGCGCUGGCUGGUGGCCCCAGUUACCUGAAGCAGUUACUAAUUGUUUGAGGAUGACGCAAACGACCGGCUCCAAUUUCAGCCCUGUGCAGGCUCCCAGGCAGGAAUGACCUGCUCGGCUAUUUCUGCUCUCCAUAUCCUGGUGAAAGGCAGGCCUGUAAAUUCCCCCAGUGCUGAGCUCCUGCCAUAGGCUUUUCCCUGAUGUGAAUGCCUCUGGAAAUCCUGCCUACCCCCAUGUUCCAGCUACCAAAGCCUCACCAGGGUUCAGAGUGCUCUCACCAACUGCGGUCUCACUGUGAUGGGAGACACAUGGGAAGGGGUGAGAGAAUGCAGCCUGAGCUCCUGCCUGGUGAUAUAAUGGCUGGAGCACUUGCUGCUGCCCCUGGCACUUCCGUGGCAUCCACCUGGGCAGCUGAGAGGAGAGGAUUGGUUCAGCUAUGGCCAUCUCUCUUUGAGAGGGAAAGCCAGGUUGGGAAAUGGGGAGCGAAAGGACAGUGGGGCUGGCAGAGAGAGCUGAGGAGCUCACAGCACCACUCCCAGCAGCUCAUGUGGGCAUUGCCUCCUGUGCCAAGCCUUGCAAUCCCUUUUGUGUCCCUGCUCUGCCAUUAGUGCUCAGCACUGACACUGCUUUGGGCCCUGCUCUCCUUUCACAAUUGCUGCAAUUGUGUAGGGACAAGCUCAAGAAAGAGUCUUCGGUCUAUGGAUCGGUGAGAGGAUGCCAUAACAACUACUGUGUCUUCUUUUCCCUGCUGAGCAACAAUGAUAAACUUGAUUAGCAGGUGAGGGAUUUUUCUGAAUAGAGACAGGGAAAUAUUGAUACAUUUAUACUACCAUUCUCCAGUGAAUUAUUUUUGUAGCUUUGGUUACCCAUGGUCCAGAAGUGUGGUAUUCACAUGCCCUCUGAACAGAGAGAAGCUGUGAGACAAGCAGAGAAAGAAAACACAAUUCUUAUCUUGCUUGCUGUGCCUGUGUUGUGCAAAAGUAGAAUGCAAUAUGGAGAUUG
rnacentral:lncRNA from 1 species